rnacentral:rRNA from 1 species
GAUGAACGCUGGCGGCGUGCCUAAUACAUGCAAGUCGAGCGAACAGACGAGGAGCUUGCUCCUCUGACGUUAGCGGCGGACGGGUGAGUAACACGUGGAUAACCUACCUAUAAGACUGGGAUAACUUCGGGAAACCGGAGCUAAUACCGGAUAAUAUAUUGAACCGCAUGGUUCAAUAGUGAAAGACGGUUUUGCUGUCACUUAUAGAUGGAUCCGCGCCGCAUUAGCUAGUUGGUAAGGUAACGGCUUACCAAGGCAACGAUGCGUAGCCGACCUGAGAGGGUGAUCGGCCACACUGGAACUGAGACACGGUCCAGACUCCUACGGGAGGCAGCAGUAGGGAAUCUUGCGCAAUGGGCGAAAGCCUGACGGAGCAACGCCGCGUGAGUGAUGAAGGUCUUCGGAUCGUAAAACUCUGUUAGUAGGGAAGAACAAAUGUGUAAGUAACUAUGCACGUCUUGACGGUACCUAAUCAGAAAGCCACGGCUAACUACGUG